CAGCCCGUCCUCGUUUGGGCUUCAGAAACGAGAAAAAAUAUAUAUAUUUAUAUAUAUAUAUCACUUGGUUCGGGUGGCCGCUGGGAAGAAGGCGGGUAAAAAUGAAAUAAUCCCCCAAUUCUCUUCCUCUGAGGAAAAAUAUUAAGAAGAAGAAGGGAGGUGAGGAGAUGAUCUGAAGGGGGUUUGAGAGUGGGGGAGGGGCCGGGGGGCCUCGCGCGCUGCGUUCAGUCCUCUCUCGCCGUGAGCGCGAGCUUCUACCCCGCGUGCGGCCCGCAGCAAAAUCACGGAGGUGAGAAGAGAGGAAGAAAAAACCGGGAGGAUGAGGAAGGGAGGGCAGCGUCGACGACGACGAGGAGGAGGAGGAGGUCCGGGAGCCUUAUCUCGCAAAUGAUUGAAAAAUCCAGGGCAAACUAUCCUCGCGUACGUGCGACACUCCCACAACAGCUCCGCGGCGGCUCACCACCAACAACACGGGUCCCGGUGAAAACGGGACAGAUCGCACAGUCGCGACAUCCACUUCCCCUAUAUCCCCCCUCUCCAGCCUUAUCCACCCCUUCAAAUGGAGGAAAAAGAGAUUCCUCCUCAGAAACGGAGGAAUCGGUGUCCGAUCGGAUGACAGCAGCGUCUCCUCCUACAUCAGCGGAUGGAGCUGCGUGCGCGCACACUAGAUUGAUUCCACACGGCCACGGAUGAUUGACAGGGAGAGAAGUCGGGAGCAGGCGAGAGAAGGCGGGAACUGUGCGAGCUCGCGUUCUGGAGGCGGAUAACAGGAACUGUCAAGUUUGGUCGACGGCACAAAUCAGUCGGGCAUUCUGAGAGCGCGCGCUGCCGGGGUGUGUCGCUCAUUCUGAGGGAAUAGUGUUACUUCCACAGAAGUCUCGCGGUAGAGAACACAUUUCCGCAUAAACCAUGGACGGUUCUCACUUAAGAUUAGAUAAAUAUACGUUAAUGAUGCCAAGCGGGACAUUGUGAAUACGAUUUAUAAUAAUAAAAAUAAUAAUAAAACGAAAUAAUUAUGAUUUGCUAUUUCCCUUAUCAAAUCAUUAAAGUACUUUACUAAUACCACUAAGAAAAAUGCAUGCAAUGGCAUGGAAUUACUGUCCCUCACACAAAUAUAAUAAUAUAACCACCUUUAUAUACGAAGACAGAAAUUAAAAAAGUAGGUUAUGAACAUAUUGGACAUAUAACAACAUAUAUGACAAAUCUAUGUCUUGGUAUCGCCUGUGUAAGCUGUUAAUAAUUUAACGAUGCUGUAAUUAAACAUCACAGUUGUUGGACUCUGCCUACAUCUAGUGGACACACCUGGUAUUACAUGUUGAAAAUGUUUUAUCAGGGGCAUACUAGAAACUUCCAGCCAGGUGUCUUGAGGCAAGUUGGAGCUAAACUCUGCAGGACACCGGACCGAGUUUGGAGACCCCCAGUUUAUAUCAAUCAAGUCCUCUUGGUCUUGGUGGAUGCUGAAUGUUAUGCAGAUGUUUAUAUAAGAUGCAUGGAAAUAUAUAAAGUGUAGCAGAUAAACUUAUACAGAAAACCUACAGCGAUAUCGUGUAAAUCAAUCAAAUAAUCUGACAAAAGGAUGACUAUUAUUAUAUAUAUAUAUAUAAAAGGGAUAUGCCGGUAUCAAAUUUUCAUGUUGCAAUUAAUUGCUAAUGCUUUUAUCACGGUAUUGAAAUUUAGUUUAAAAAAAGUGGUCAUAAUAUACAAACCCGAUUCCAAAAAAGUUGGGACACUGUACAAAUUGUGAAUAAAAAUAGAAUGCAAUGAUGUGGAAGUUUCAAAUUUCAAUAUUUUAUUCAGAAUACAACAUAGAUGACAUAUCAAAUGUUCAAACUGAGAAAAUGUAUAAUUUUAAGGGAAAAAUAUGUUGAUUUUAAAUUUCAUGGCAUCAACAUAUCUCAAAAAAGUUGGGACAAGGCCAUGUUUACCACUGUGUGGCAUCCCCUCUUCUUUUUAUAACAGUCUGCAAACGUCUGGGGACUGAGGAGACAAGUUGCUCAAGUUUAGGAAUAGGAAUGUUGUCCCAUUCUUGUCUAAUACAGGCUUCUAGAUGCUCGGCUGUCUUAGGUCUUCUUUGUCGCAUCUUCCUCUUUAUGAUGCGCCAAAUGUUUUCUAUGAGUGAAAGAUCUGGACUGCAGGCUGGCCAUUUCAGUACCCGGAUCCUUCUUCUACGCAGCCAUGAUGUUGUAAUUGAUGCAGUAUGUGGUUUGUAUAUAAAGUGUAGCAGAUAAACCUAUACAGAAAACCUACAGCGCUAUCGUGUAAAUCAAUCAAAUAAUCUGACAAAAGGAGGAUGCCCAGUGUAAUGACUAUUAUUUGUAUGCUUAUUCUGUUAAGAAAAGGAAAAAGACUUAUUAUCUUGUCAAUUAUGAAUUAUAUCAACCAUGUAAAUGGCAGCAUAUAUAUAUAUAUCUGGAGAAUACAUUUUUUUUUAAACCAGUCACAAUGAAAUCACUUACUGUUUUCCUAAAUUCUAGGGGUGUAACAAUUCACUCGUUUUCUCAAUGCAUCAAUUACAAACCCUGACGAUGCAUAUGCAUCGAUCUUGAUUAGGGAUAUGCCGGUAUCGAAUUUUCAUGUUGCAAUUAAUUGCUAAUGCUUUUAUCACGUUAUUAAAAUUUUGUUUAAAAAAAGUGGUCAUAAUAGUAUAACAGGUUAAAUAACUUUUUUCUUAUAACAAAAAUAACUGAACAUUUAAAUACAAUAAAGCAAUACAGAAAAAUAGUAAAAAAAA
ensembl:lncRNA